AUUUGCCUCAUUUUUGGGGCCAUUUUGGGGCUUUUUGGGGCCUUUUAACAAAUGGGGUUUUUGGGGGGGUGAUGGGGGGCUGUGCCCCAUAAGUGUGGGGCAGAACUGAGCCCCAUAAGUGUGAGGCUGAGCCCCAUAAGUGCGGUCUCUGCCCCAUAAGUGUGGGGCAGAACCCAUAAAGGGGAGGGGGCCGGAGCACAGGACCCCCCCCACCCUAUGGAGCAGCCCUGACCCCCAAGUGUGGGGCUGAGACCCCCUAAGUGUGGGGCAGACCCAUAGAUGUGGGUCAGAGCCCCCUAAGUGUGGGGCAGAACCCCCCUCUCUGUGGGGCAGAACCCAUUAUGUGCCCCCCCCUUAUCAGUAUGGAGCACCCCCAGCCCCCCAAGUGUGGGGCAGACCCAUAGAUGUGGGGCAGAACCCCCCCCAAGUGUGGGUCCUGUUGCCCCCCCACCCUCCAUAUGUGGGGCAGACCCCCAAGUGUGGGGCAGACCCCCAAGUGUGGGUCAGAGCCCCCUUAGUGUGGGUCCUGCUGCUCCCACCCCCCAUAUGUGGGGCAGACCCCCAAGUGUGGGGCAGAACCCCCCCUUAGUGUGGGUCCUACUGCUCCCACACCCCAUAUGUGGGGCAGACCCCCAAGUGUGGGUCCUGCUGCCCCCCCCAAAACCCAUAUGUGGGGCAGACCCCCAAGUGUGGGGCAGACCCCCAAGUGUGGGGCAGAAACCCCCCUAAGUGUGGGUCCUACUGCCCCCCCACCCCCCAUAUGUGGGGCAGACCCCCAAGUGUGGGUCCCACAGCCCCCCCCCCAUUAACUUGGAGACCCCCCCCUCAUCUGUUUUAUUGUGGGUGGGGGGUCCCCUCAAUGUGGUCUCAAUGGGGGCCGAGGGGUCCCCGAAUUAGGGGGGGGGUCCAGGGCCGGGGGGAGACCCCUGGGUUGUGGGGCAGCCCCCCAAGUGUUG
rnacentral:lncRNA from 1 species